GAUGAACGCUGACAGAAUGCUUAACACAUGCAAGUCAACUUGAACUUCGGUUUGGGUGGCGGACGGGUGAGUAACGCGUAAAGAACUUGCCUCACAGAUAGGGACAACAUUUGGAAACGAAUGCUAAUACCUGAUAUUAUGAUUAUAUGGCAUCGUAUAAUUAUGAAAGCUAUAUGCGCUGUGGGAGAGCUUUGCGUCCCAUUAGCUAGUUGGAGAGGUAACGGCUCACCAAGGCGAUGAUGGGUAGCCGGCCUGAGAGGGUGAUCGGCCACAAGGGGACUGAGACACGGCCCUUACUCCUACGGGAGGCAGCAGUGGGGAAUAUUGGCCAAUGGACCAAGAGUCUGAUCCAGCAAUUCUGUGUGCACGAUGAAGUUUUUCGGAAUGUAAAGUGCUUUCAGUUGGGAAGAAAAAAAUGACGGUACCAACAGAAGAAGUGACGGCUAAAUACGUG
rnacentral:rRNA from 1 species